CAUGAGGGACAAUAGGUUUGAUGUUCUCAGUUCCUGUAGAAUCAAAGAGGAGGAGAACCAAGUUACUAAUGUAGUUCGUACCAAUUUCACAAGAGCUUUUGAAUCUAUGUGCAACGGGAAGACUGAUAUGAAAAAGUCUGAAUUCACAACAGCAUAUCAAGAUGCCCCACAGCAGGAAACAAAUUUCGAUUGCGGCAUAUUUGUCAUGGAUUUCAUGCGUUCAUGGGAUGGGAGAAGAGUUGCUCAUAUUGACAAUAUU